rnacentral:rRNA from 1 species
UACGAAGGGGGCUAGCGUUACUCGGAAUUACUGGGCGUAAAGGGCGCGUAGGCGGCGUUCCAAGUUAGGCGUGAAAGUCCUGGGCUCAACCUGGGAACUGCGCUUAAGACUGGAAUGCUAGAGGAUGGAAGAGGGUUGUGGAAUUCCCAGUGUAGAGGUGAAAUUCGUAGAUAUUGGGAAGAACACCGGUGGCGAAGGCGGCAACCUGGUCCAUUUCUGACGCUGAGGCGCGAUAGCGUGGGGAGCAACAGG